GGUGGGCUCUCUAGGAGAAAGGUCCUCCGGGACUCUGUGGUCACUGUGGAGACUCUCUAGGAGGGAGGUCCUCCAGGACUCUAUGGUCACUGCAUGGAAAAGUCCUCCAGGUCUCUAUGGUCACGGGUUGGACUCUCUAGGAAGAAAGUCCUCCGAGUCUUUAUGGUCUUCCACUAAAACCGUGCUAGAAGGGAGGUCCUCCAGGUCUCUAUGGUCACCGCUUGGACUCUCUAGGAGGAAAGUCCUCCAGUCUUUAUGGUCUUCCAUUAAACCGUGCUAGAAGGGAGGUCCUCCAGCACUCUAUGGUUUGAAGUCCUCCACCUCUCUAUGGUUGCCAGCACGGCCCCACGUGCCCACGGGACACUCUAGCCCACCUCCCCGGUCUCUAUGGCCCCGCAGCCCCUCUGGCCCUUCUUCCCCCCUCUCUAUGGUCUCACCCCCCCCCCCCCAAGGAGGCCACGCGCAGCCACACCUACGGCUCCAAGCACUUUAUUGGGGGGGAGGGGCAGGGGGCAGGGCCACAGCACCCAUCGGUCACCGGGGGGCACCCAUGGGUGCUGGGGGACACCCAUGGGUGUCAUGGGGCACCCUGGGGUUCAACUGAUGCCGAUGCAAAGCCAAUUGCGGUCCUCCAGGGUGGCGUUGACCAACCUCUAAGACCCAACGUUAGCCGUAGAGCACCCAUUGAUGGUUGGGGCGCACCCAUGGGUGCUGGGGGUGGCCUUGGGGCACCCCACGAUGUCAACAACCACCCAUGGGUGCUCAAGGACCACUGUGGGCUUCAUCUAACACAGGUACAAAGGGUUCUGUGGUCCUCCAGGGUAGCAUUGACCAACCUCCAAAACCCAACGUUGACCAGAGAGCACCCAGGGAUGGUCGGGGAGCACCCAUGGGUGCUGGGGGAUCUGGUCGGCGUCGGCGUACACCUCCACCUUCCGCUGCUUCUCCAGCUUCCGCCGCAGUCGCGACAGCUCCUCCUGCGGGGGGGGGGGGGGGGCUGACCCACAGCACCCAUGGGUGCCCCCCGACCCCUACAGAGCCCAUAUGCCCCAUAGGGCCCCGACAGGGACCCCCAGAGGCCCAAAUUUGCCGCCUUCAGAGCCCCCCAGAUCUCCUAUAGGAAACUCCCCAUAGGUCCCCCAGACCUCCCACAGGUCCCCCACACUCCCCUAUAGGACCCCCAGACCCCCUACAGGUCCCCCCAGAGCCCCUAUAGAUCCCCGAUAGGUCCCCCAGACCCUCUAUAGGUCCCCACAGCCCCCCUAUAGGUCCCUGUGGACCCCCUACAGGAUCCUAUGGGCCCUAGAGGCGCUGCUGUAGAGCCCCUAUAGCACCCCACAGAACCCCUAUGGGUCCCACAGACCCUUAAAGACCCCCCCGGAGUCCCUAUAGGUGCCCGCAGACCCCUUAUAGGGGCUCUUCAGGUCCCCCCAGAGCCACUGUAAGGUCAUCCUGAGUCCCUAUAGGGCCACACAGACCCCCCUAAAGGUCCUAUAGGGUCUUGUAAGACCCCCAUAGGGCUCCAUAGCACCCAUAGAGCCCCUUAACCUUUCCCCAAGCACCCUAUAGCACCCAUAGAUCCCCCCCCAGAUCCCUAUAGGGUGCUGCGUGGCUCCUAUAGAGCCCCAUAGAAGCCCCCGGGCACGCUGUAGGGCUCCCACAGCACCCUAUAGAGCCCCUUAACCCCCCACCCUGAGCACCCUAUAGUACCCCACACCACCCACGUGCCCCACCAGGACCCCUAUAGGCCCAUAAGGUGCUGUAGGGACGCUAUAGAGUCCCAUACAGCCCCCUGAGCACCACCAUACAGCCCCUUAAACCCCCUCUAAAUAGCCUACAUUGCCCCACAGCAUCCAUAGGAUCCCCCAGGACCCCUACAGAGCCCACCUAAGUGCUAUAGGAGACCUAUAAGUGCUAUAGGAGAGCUACAGAGUGCCAUAAAAAGCCUAUAGGGUACCAAAAAAAGCCUAUAAGGUGCUAUAGGAGACCUAUAGGGUGCUACUGACCAUCUAUAGAAUGCUAUAGAAGACCUAUAGGGUGCUAUAGAGGGUCUGCAGGCCUAUAGAAAGCCUACAGGGUGCUAUAGGAAGGCCAUAGGGUGCCACAGAAAACUUAUAGGG
rnacentral:lncRNA from 1 species